AGAUGGCGACCGGCGCACGGGUGAGUAACACGUAUCCAACCUGCCGAUAACUCGGGGAUAGCCUUUCGAAAGAAAGAUUAAUACCCGAUGGUAUAAUCAGACCGCAUGGUUUGAUUAUUUAAAGAAUUUCGGUUAUCGAUGGGGAUGCGUUCCAUUAGGCAGUUGGUGAGGUAACGGCUCACCAAACCUUCGAUGGAUAGGGGUUCUGAGAGGAAGGUCCCCCACAUUGGAACUGAGACACGGUCCAA
rnacentral:rRNA from 1 species